GACAGAGGAUGCAAGCGUUAUCCGGAAUGAUUGGGCGUAAAGCGUCUGUAGGUGGCUUUUUAAGUCCGCCGUCAAAUCCCAGGGCUCAACCCUGGACAGGCGGUGGAAACUACCAAGCUGGAGUACGGUAGGGGCAGAGGGAAUUUCCGGUGGAGCGGUGAAAUGCGUAGAGAUCGGAAAGAACACCAGUAGCGAAGGCGGCACUCUGGGCCGGUACUGACGCUGAGGAGCGAAAGCGUGGGGAGCGAACAGG
rnacentral:rRNA from 1 species